UUUUUCUUAACAGCGUAUGAUUAAAAUUUAUACAGGCAAGUUCUGUAAUUCACUUUCGAGUGAAUUUGAGUCAAAUUCGCGUUGAAUUCAAAUUGG